rnacentral:lncRNA from 1 species
CUCCUCUCUAAGGAGAGAAAAGGACAGAAAAGUUUAUUUUUAAGAGGAAAAUCAGUGAAAGUAGAAGAGGACUCUCAUAGAGGGGACAAGUGGGAGAGAGAUUUGACUUCUCAGUGUUUCGAGGACCAGAGGAAAGGGCAGCAGAGGAAAGGUGCCGAAGAGAGUUUAUUUGAAGGAAAAGACUCCUUCAAAGACUUCUAGGAGAGCAGAAAAGGUCUUAUUCUGAGGCCUUACGCUGCCAUUGGCCUCUUCCGGAGAAGCCAGACCCCCUUUGCUUCGCCCAAAGUCUCCUGGAGUUCCUCAGAACUGGAGUUGGGGGAGAAGACAGCAGCCCCAGUAGGUGCACCGACCUGCAAGCCUAGAUUCCCAAAGCCGGCUCCCAGGCGCGCCCGGAAAUCCAGUCCGAAUAGGCGCAGUUGCCAUGGCACCAAAGAUGCUCCCCAAGCAUCCUCAUUCCCCCGAGGAAAAACGGGCCCGGGGCAGACGCCUCCCUCCACAGUAGUCUGGCAGGAGCGCCCCUUCCAGGAUUCACCAGUACUCCUACCCAUCUCUUCUCCAAGAGGUUAAUCAAGGAUUGCUCCUCUUCCCCACUCCCGCCCACCCCCUCGUUUCCAUACGGUUUGUUCACAGGCCCCUCCUAGGCCGGGGGUGAAUGCUCACUUACACUGACCGCUGCGAGGGAAUUGUUCGUGUCACAAAGAAUUUGCACCUCACAAUGGGGAUGGGGUACAUCGCGUGCCACUUCAGCAUGUGCCGGCAGGGAUGGGCCCGACCCGGCUUUGUUCUGCUCUCGCAGAAAGAUUCCAAAGUAUUUCACUGGACAUGCUCUCUGACUUCUGGAACUUAAAGAACUGGUGAUAUUAAAAAAGAUUUAGCCUAAACUAAAAACACACACCAGAGAUCCUAAACUAAAUAAUUUUAUGUCUUCAUCUUUUGUCAUGGUAAGUUUGAUCUGCACAGAUUUUUAUGCUUUGGUAUAAGUGUGGGAAAGUUUUUAUUUGAC